UAUUUGGUUUGGAGCUCCAUGUACUGCACAAGUUUGUAAAUCCAGAUGAUCAUGUUCUCCAACAAGAUUUGAAAAAUGCUAAAAAAUGGUCUCUUCUCCGUGGCUCCCGUAAAAUGAAAGUGUGGUUUUUCUCUGGUUCUGUGCAGCAGAGGAUGCCCUGUGGAUCGAUCAGUGGCCUUCCAUCAGGUGGCUGCUAAUGAAUGAGAUGAGAGUGGGAGGGUGAGUCUAGUGAAGUAUUGCUCUCUUCAGCAGAGUUCUUGUCUCCGGGUCUGACAGCAUCCUCCCCCCGGCCGCUUCACCACUAUCUGUCCAGUCACUAUCAAUUACUAAGCUCUGAAACAUCCUGCACCCUGUACACCUUCCACGGCGAGUGUGAAUGCACAUGUCGGGGCCUUGACCUGCUAUGUGUGUGCGUGCCGCAUGUCAGGAAACGAGAGGACAAAGAUGUUGGAGCUCUGGUACAGUGGUCAACCCAUGCAGGAGACCGGCACAGAAAUGGGGAUGGAAAGAAUGGGAUUUGGUAUAUGCUGAUGAAGAGGAAUUCAAGAUUGAUGAUGAUGAAUCAUGAUGAGUCACUGUAAAAAGUCAGAGACUAGUGCAAUGUGGUGAUAAUAACAACAGCUGUGGUCAUGAAAUGAUUCAGACAUCUGCUCCCCAUUGAAUAUUUUGUUUACUCUCAUAAUGAGGCAACAGCUUAUUUAGCAUGUUUUAUUAUUACUGAACUAAUCAAUGCAGGGGACUACAGAGUGUGUCCUGGGUCAUGUUCAUCCAGUGUGGCUUACUACGUCAGCCUGGAAAGUUUCGAAAGGUUUGUCCAUCCAUCGAAUCAAGCUUAAAAUUUGAUGAGCCUUUGGGCUGCUUUUCACUCCUUUUCAUUUGCUGUGUUUUCAGAACACAUGUUAAUUCCAUGUUAUCUUCAACAUUUUCUGGCUGACCAAUUGGACCAGAUGGUCCUUGAUUGUAUAGCAGUACAUUGCCAGCACUGACUUUGGGAUCAGUCUUAAAGAAAUAUUUUGUGCAAAAUGAAAGUUCUGUGCCAUUUACUCACCCUUAUGUCAUUUCAAAUCUGUAUCUGUAAAACAUUACCUAAUUUUUGUGUUCAGAAAAUAAAUAAAUAAAUAAAUAAAUAAAUAAAUAAAUA
ensembl:lncRNA